UGGGAACCAGAGUGCCGGAACAGUUAGUGAAGAAGUUGUGGAACCAGAUGUUGAAAUUUUAACUAUGUGUGACCUUGUCAAAGGCCUUGGACAACAUCCACUGCACCAUCUGAUACAUCCUCAAAUUCAAAUGUCUCCAAACAGAUCAGUUUAUUCAACAGAAAUGACUUCCAGAGCAAGAAAGGCAUUAGCCAAAGGCAAGGAAACCAGUAAUGGAAACAGGAAGAAGAUCAGCCUACACAACUUGAAUGUAUUUUACAAGCUCUUUCAAAAUUAUUGGAUGAAAAACUUGGCAAAAGAUUCACUGCAUUGGAAGUAAUGCUGAAGGAGAACAAAGCACUUUCAAAUGCUGAAAGCACUUGAAAAAGAGAACGAUAAACAACAACGGCAAAUUUUCAAGCUUACUGAAGCUGGGAAACAGAGAUUCCAGAAUGAAUUCUUUUGAAAAGAAAUUAAGUUCAACUACUCGUACAUUGGAGCAGUAUAAAGCCAAGGUUAUUGAUUUGGAGAGUCAUAAUCACAGACAGAAUUUGCGAAUUAUAGGACUCAGUGAAAACGUCGAGAGCGGGAACCUUACUGAAUUUUUCUCUCAAUUCUUAAUGGAAGUUUUUGGUUUGGAAGGUCUCACUUCUCCUCUGGUACUUGAUCAUGCACAUUGGUCGUUAAAAUCAAAACCAUUGAGAGAGUUAAAACCAUGUCACGUUAUUCUUCGAUUUCACUAUGUGAGUACUAAGGAGCACUUAAUUUCAAUUGCUCAUCGUAAAGGAAUUAUUGAACAUCAAAAUCUUACGUUUAGUUUAGUUGAAGAUUAUUGUCCCAAGGUAAUGCAAGAAAGAUUGUGUUUGAAAGUGGUGAUGUCGGACUUAUAUCAAAGGAAUUUUUAACCUGCUUUGUUGUACCCCGCCCGCUUAAGAGUGGUCAUACCCGAUGAAUCAUUUAAAUGGUUUAAAUCAGUAGACAACACAUAACAAUUUCUCGAAGAACAUUCUCUGAACUUAGAUGUUUAACCAAUUUUCCGUUUCUUGUUGUUUGUAUAAACCAGGUUUAUUAAUUAAUUAUCAGCUUAUAGAUUCAGACAUUUUAAGUUCGUGGAGUCUUGGCCUUGGGCUGAUGUUUUGGAUACUUUGUUUUGGCUUAUGUCUGUUUUAAAGUUCUCUUCCUUUUCCUUUAUUAUUUUAUUGUUUUAUUUUUAAUUGUUCAUUUUAGAAAAUUAUUAAGACCUUGACUUGGUGAUUAAUUAUUAUGAAACUCUGUUUUAUCUUUUAAGACCUUGGUUUUUAAAACAGUCUACAAAAGGUUGUUUUUCCACUUACCUUGUGUCUGGCAUUCUUUUGCAAUGUUUUGGCUACUGGUGAUGUUUUUAUUCUUUAAAAUUUGGAGAUUUGCCAACAAGAGAGAUGGGGUUUGGCUGGUUCUUAGAUCGUCCCGUGGCUGCUUAUUGGCCAGGUUUUGUGGCUUUGGGGGAGAGGGGGUUCUGUAUUAGUUCAGCAUUUUUCCUUUGGGCUGCCUUGAAACUACAAAAAUGUCUGUAUUGUCGUAACUUCCGGUUCCUCUUUAAACUUUUUUCACUCUUCCUGGUUCAUGAGUUUCUUAUGCAAUUUGGUUAACCCUUUACAUACCAUAUAGUUUAUUUAAGGAAAAUGGAUAAUAUUGUAAACUUUGUUUCAUGGAACACGAAUGGCUUGAAUCAUCCAAUUAAUUGGAAGAAGAUUUUAAAAGUUUUUCAUAGACUGAAUGCUCAGAUUAUUUUGGCGCAGGAGAUUCAUGUGAGGAAGGAAGAUAACCAGCACCUUUUUAGGUUUUGGAAAGGCCAACAGUUUCACUCAAAGUCAUUGACCAAAGUGAAAGGUGUUCCUAUUUUUAUAGACCCUUUGAUCUCAUUUGUUUAUCAUGAUACAAUCUCAGAUCCUUAUGGUGGAUUUCUAUUAAUUACUGGUUUACUUUACAACCAAAAGUAGUUUUGGUUAAUGUUUAUGCACCAAAUACUGACCAUCUUGAAUUCUUUAAGCACUUACUUAUAUUUCUUCCCAAUUUAAAUGAAUAUAGGUUAAUAAUGGGUGGAGAUUUUAAUUGUUAUUUGAAUCCUAUGAUGGAUAGGUCGGCACUCAAUCAGGUACUUCCAAACAAAUCUGCGACUUUUAUUAAUUCCUUUUUAGUUGACUUGGGAAUUUUAGAAAUUUGGAGGUUUUUACAUCCUAAUGAUAAAGAGUUCUCUUGCUUUUCUCAUGUUUAUCAUAAUUACUCUAGAAUCGAUUACUUCUUUAUUGAUUCUCGAUUAGUUUCGUCUGUCACCGCCUGUGACUAUAAUGCAAUUACCAUUUCCACAAAUCUAUUACCGUUAAAUUUCAUUAAAGAACAGAUUGCAUUUUUCUUUUCAUCUAAUUCAACAGAAGAAAUUUCCAGUGGAAUAUUAUGGGGUACAUUUAAAGCAUACAUCCGUGGACAAAUUAUUUCAUACUCUGCUGGAUGGUAAAAAUGAAUUAAUAGUGAGAUACAUACAUUGGUUGAUAAGAUUAAAGAAAUCGAUAAAAAAUAUUCUAUUGCUCCCAAUUUGGAGCUUUAUAAAGACAGAGUUGAACUUCAGCAUAGUUUGUUAUUAACAUCCCUGAUUGAAAGCCAAAUACUUAAAACUAGGAAUCACUUUUAUAUACAUAGUGAUAAAUUGGGUAAAUUGUUGGCUAACCAAUUGAAAGCUGCUUUGGCGAAACGUCAGAUUAAUGAAGUUCAUAGACAGGAUGGUAUUUUGACGGUUAACCACAAUGAAAUUAAUAAAUCUUUUCAAGAAUUUUAUACUAAUUUAUAUCAAUCAGAAUUUCCUGAUUAUCUUACCAUAAUGCAUGAAUUUUUAAGGAAACUAAAUAUUCUGAAAUUACCAGUUGAUGAACAUUUAGCAUUAGCUGCAUUCAUUAAUGAAGAGGAAAUAAAGAAGGCAAUCUUUUCGACAAAUAAACUCUGGUAAAGCACCUGGCCCGGAUGGAUAUACAGCUGAAUGUUCAAAAUCUUUUUCAGAUUUACUUUUUCCUGGUUAUGUAGAAUUUUUAAGGUGCUUUAUUAGUAGGUAAAUUACCACAAUCCUUUUAUGAGCAUCUAUUUCUUUAAUUCCUAAAAAAGAUAAAGAUCCCACUGAAUGUGCAUCAUACAGACAACUAUUUACUAAAUGGUCUCCACUGUCCUUAUCUUUGAUUGGUAGAAUUAAUGCUAUUAAGAUGUUUAUUUUACCUACAUUUCUGUAUUUAUUUCAGGCAGUAUCAAUUUUCGAUCCUAAAUCUUUUUUUAAUAUUAUUGAUUCUAAAAUUUCUUCAUAUACAUGGCAAUAUAGAAAUCCCAGGUUAAGUAAGAAAUAUUUACAGAAAUCAAAAAAGGAAGGCGGUUUGGCUUUGCUGAAUCUUAGAUUUUAUUACUGGACAAUUAAUAUUCAAUAUUUAAUGUUUUGGAGAUUGAAACUCAAUCUCCACGAUGGAUGGACCUCGAGUGGGAGUCUGCACAGGGGCUGGCUUCUAUUUUGAGAGCUAUGCUUCCUUUUGCAUUUACUAAACUGAAAAAACAAAUGAUAAAUUCAAUAGUUAAACAAUAUGAAUAUGGUUUCAAUUUUGUAAAUUUUUUGGAUUGAAUAAAUUUAUCCCUUCAAGUCCUAUUAUAACUAACUUUUAUUUCCAACCAUCUAAAAUUGAUCAAGCUAUUUUUAAAAAUGGAAAACAAAAGGAAUAAUAUGCUUUCAUGAUUUAUUCAUGGAUGAUUGUGUUAUGUCUUUUGAACAGUUGUCGAGUAAAUAUAAUUUGCCGAGAUCACAUUUUUUCAGAUAUUUACAGAUUAGAACCUUUCUGAAUGCUACUUUAUCUACUUCUCCAAUAUUACAUCAAGUCGAAGUUACAGAAAAAAAUUUAGGUUUAAACCCCUAUCAGAAAAGUUUAAUAGCAAUUACUUAUGAUCUGAUUAUGAAAAUACGUCUAGGUACAUCUGAUAAAAUUAAGAAUGAGUGGGAAAGAGAACUUCAAAUAUCUUUAUCUACAGAGAAAUGGGAGAAAAUUCUCAAACUAAUUAAUAUACUUCUUCAAUGUGUGCCAGACACGCUUUGAUACAAUUUAAGGUGGUUCAUAGGGCUCAUAUGCCCAAGGAUAAGUUAACUCGUUUUUACCGUCAUAUAAAUCCGGUUUGUGAUAGAUGUAAUUCGAAAGUUGCUUCCUUGACACCUAUGUUCUGCUCUUGCUCUCUUCUAGGAAAAUAUUGGAAAUAUAUUUUUGAUAUUAUUUCAGUAGUUCUGCAUGUUGAUUUACAACCUCAUCCUAUUACUGCAAUUUUUGGACUACCAGUGAUAGACUCCAGUCAUUUAUCCUCAUCAGCUUGUCAUUUAAUUGUGACCUUAAUAGCCAGAAGAUCCAUGUUACUUAAAUGGAAAGAUUUCAAUCCCCCCAGCACAUUUCAAUGGUUUUCCCAAACGAUAGCAUGUUUAAACUUGGAAAAAAUUAGGAGCAGUACUAUGGACCCUUCGGGUAAAUUUGUUGGAGGCCAUUUAUUCAAUAUUUUCAUAUGAUAUAGGUUGAACCUUUCUGAAUCCUUUUUUUUAAGUAAUUUCUUUGUUCAUGUACAGAGGAGUGGAGUUAACGACAAAUUAUAAUUUUAACCGAUGAAACAUGGCAGCCCAAUCUUUGUUUUCUUUUGUUCGUUUUUUUUUUAAGUUUAGUUUUUCUUAGUUUAGCGAUUUUUUCUCUUUUAUAAACACCUUUUUCAUGAUUAAUUACUAACAGAUUGGGAGGUUAAACUCUGUUUGUUACUUGAAAUAUGUGUUUUUACAUGUUAACAUUAUUAAUGUGAUCCCCAUCUCUUUGUACCAUUAUCAAUACUGAUAUGUUCAUUAAUUUAAAAUUUAAUAAAAAGAUUGAAAAAGAAAGAAAAAAAAUACAGGUCACUUCAAAAGCAAAUCCUGCUGAUCAAAUGUUCAACAUGCUGUAUUUCAGGUCCUCCAAAGGCCCCCUCCCCCCCCAAACACACAAACAAACCAGUUUCGGUCCUUUAACCAGAUUACUGAGGCUUUAUAAGGCACUGGUAAGGCCUCACCUUGAGUACUGUGAACAGUUUUGGGCCCCUCGGCUUGGAAAAGAUGUUCUGGCAUUGGAGAGGGUCCAGAAGAGGUUCACAAAGAUGAUUCCAGGAAUGAAAGGGUUACCAUAUGAGAAACGUUUGAUGGCUCUGGGUCUGUAUUUGCCAGAAUUCAGGAGGAUGAGGGGGGAUCUCAUAGAAAUACUUUGAAUGUUGAAAGGCCUAGACCAGAGUAGAUGUGGUAAGGAUGUUUCCCACGGUGGGAGAGUCUAGGACAAGGUGGCACAGCCUCAGGACAGAGGGGUGCCCUUUCAAAACAGAGAUGCGGAGAAAUUUCUUUAGCCAAAAGGUGGUAAAUUUGUGGGAUUUGUUGCUACAUGCAGUUGUAGAGGCCAGAUCAUUGGAUGUAUUUAAGGCAGAGACUGAUAAGUUCUUGAUUGGACAUGGCGUCAAAGGUUACAGGGAGAAGGCCAGGCACUGGGGUUGAUGAGAAGCAAAAAAAGAUUGGCCAUGAUUGAAUGGUGGAGUAAACUCGAUGGGCCAGAUGGCCUAAUUCUGCUCCUAUGUCUUAUGGUCUUUACUGCCAUAACUGUGAACCUUUCAGCUCAGUAGUACUGCAGAGGAUCUACCGGAUUUUCCUGUUCCUCUGCCUUAAUAACCAAUCAUUGACCUUCCAGUUAUUGCUUUUUGACAUCUGCAGUUUGCUAAUAAAUUUCCUUCAAAUUUUUUAAACAAAUGUAGUCUGAACCUUUAACCAAUUCUAGUUAAUUGAAGGCAAAUAUGAUGUGCACUGAAUUUGAAAAUAAGUCUAUAAUAUGAACAGGAAAAAGUAAUCUCAAGAUUCAAUAUUAAGUAAACUGCAGCUGCAAAAAGUUCUGAAUUUUAUCAUUAUUCUAAAACCUAAUUAAUAUGCAUACGUAUUAGGAGUCUUUAUCAGAAACAGAAGGUUUGCUUUAUACAAUUGUACAAGGUGCUAUCUUACGAAUUCUAUCCAACUUAAGAG